rnacentral:rRNA from 1 species
UGGGGAAUAUUGGACAAUGGGCGAAAGCCUGAUCCGGCCAUGCCGCGUGUGUGAAGAAGGUCUUCGGAUUGUAAAGCACUUUAAGUUGGGAGGAAGGGCAGUAACUUAAUACGUUGCUGUCUUGACGUUACCGACAGAAUAAGCACCGGCUAACUCUGUGCCAGCAGCCGCGGUAAUACAGAGGGUGCAAGCGUUAAUCGGAAUUACUGGGCGUAAAGCGCGCGUAGGUGGUUUGUUAAGUUGGAUGUGAAAGCCCCGGGCUCAACCUGGGAACUGCAUUCAAAACUGACAAGCUAGAGUAUGGUAGAGGGUGGUGGAAUUUCCUGUGUAGCGGUGAAAUGCGUAGAUAUAGGAAGGAACACCAGUGGCGAAGGCGACCACCUGGACUGAUACUGACACUGAGGUGUGAAAGCGUGGGGAGCAAACAGGAUUAGAUACCCCAGUAGUCCCUGAGCGGGCUGGCAAGGCGCAU